CCGCCGCCUCUACACUCUAACCACUAGGCUACCUGCCACCCCAUCAUGAGUCGUCCUCCCUCAGCAGCCUGUGUUACACUUCUACAUCUGUCCAAUGUCAAUACAGAAUAUAGACCACUGCAGUUCAUCACUCCAAAUGAUUUGACCUCUAUGAAAUAUUUAGAAGUCAUAGAAUAUAUGGUGCAAUGAUCUCUCCCCCCCCCAUGGAUUAUGAUACAAAUCAACCAAAAUGAACACAAUGCUGAACAGAGAAUUAUGAAUGCACAAAGCCUUUCAUUGACGCUCAACGCCAUUCAUACGCCCCCUAUAUCCUACCCCCCACGAGCCACUUCUCCCCUCCCCCACACGUUACCACCCAGCACGCGGAUCACUGCGGUCAUCGAGUGUGUGUGUGUGAGAGCUGUGUGACGCAGAGCCGAAAACGCGUCACUGAAUUGAGAAUGAAAAAAAUAAUAAGGGAAUGUCGGACUGAGCAGAAAUACACUGAAGGGAACAGAGAGAGAGGAGAGCAGAGCAGAGAGAUGAGAGCAGAGCAGAGAGCAGAGCAGAGCAGAGAGAUGAGAGCAGAAGAGAUGAGAGUAGAGUAGAGAGAUGAGAGCAGAGUAGAGUAGAGAGAUGAGAGUAGAGUAGAGAGAUGAGAGCAGAGUAGAGUAGAGAGAUGAGAGCAGAGUAGAGUAGAGAGAUGAGAGUAGAGUAGAGAGAUGAGAGCAGAGUAGAGUAGAGAGAUGAGAGUAGAGUAGAGAGAUGAGAGCAGAGUAGAGUAGAGAGAUGAGAGCAGAGAUGAGAGCAGAGUAGAGAGAUGAGAGCAGAGUAGAGUAGAGUGAUGAGAGCAGAGUAGAGUAGAGAGAUGAGAGCAGAGAUGAGAGCAGAGUAGAGUAGAGUGAUGAGAGCAGAGUAGAGUGAUGAGAGCAGAGAGAGACAUUGUUUUCCUCAGUGAAAACAAUGUACUGAGCAAAUGUCAAAUUGGCUUUUGACCAAAUUACCGUACGACAGACCAUGUAUUCACAACCAUGAUUGACAAUCAAACCAAAACAAAGGCAAAGUCUUCCCAUGCCUUGUUGAUUUAAAAAAAUCUUUUGAAUACAAAUUGUUGGAAAGUGGUGUUUGGGGGAAAACGUAUGACAUUAUGAAAUCCACGUAGACAAAGAAGUGUGAGGUUAAAAUUGGGAAAUAAACACAUUUCAUUCCUCAGGGCCGGGGGGUGAGACAGGGAUGCAGCUUAAGCCCCACCCUCUUCAACAUAUAUAUCAACAAAUUGCCGAGGGCGCUAGAACAGUCUGCAGCACCCGGCCUCACCCUACUAGAAUCUGAAGUCAAAUGUCUACUGUUUGCUGAUGUCUACUGGUGCUUCUGUCACCAACCAAGGAGGGCCUACAGCAGCACCUAGAUCUUCUGCACAGAUUCUGACAGACCUGGGCCCUGACAGUAAAUCUCAGGAAGACAAAAAUGAUGGUGUUCCAAAAAAGGACCAGUCGCCAAGACAACAAAUACAAAUUCCGUUGCCCUAGAGCACACAAAAAAAAACUAUACAAACCUCGGUCGCCACAGGUAACUUCCACAAAGCUGUGACCAAUCUAAAAGACAAGGCAAGAAGGGCAUUCCAUGCCAUCAAAAGGAACAAAAUUCGACAUCCCAAUUAGGAUCUAGCUAAAAAUACUUGAAUCAGUCAUAGAGCCCAUUGCCCUUUAUGGUUGUGAGGUCUGGGGUCUGCGUACCAACCAAGAAUUCACAAUUAUGCAAAACUAUCCUUAAUGUAUUGUACAACAUAGAAAGACCAAAUAAUGCAUGUGAAGCAGAAUUAGGCCGAUACCCGCUAAUUAUCAAAAUCCAGAAAAGAGCCGUUAAAUUCUACAACCACCUAAAAGGAAGUGAUUCCCAAACCUUCCAUAACAAAGCCAUCACCUUCAGAGAGAUGAACCUGGAGAAGAGUCCCCUAAGCAAGCUGGUCCUGGGGCUCUGUUCACAAACACACCCUACAGAGCCCCAGGACAGCAGCACAAUUAGACCCAAUCAAAUCAUGAGAAAACAAAAAGAUAAUUACUUGACACAUUGGAAAGAAUUUACAAAAAAACUGAGCAAACUAGAAUGCUAUUUGAGCUGCAAUUCCUAACCUCCUGCCAAGUGUUUGACCAUAUUAGAGACACAUAUUUCCCUCAGAUUACACAGGCCGACAAAGAAUUAGAAAACAAACCCAAUUUUGAUAAAUUCCCAUAUCUACUGGGUGAAAUUCCACAGUGUGCCAUCACAGCAGCAAGAUGUGUGACCUGUUGCCACAAGAAAAGGGCAACCAGUGAAGAACAAACACCAUUGUGUAACGGCUUUCUUGUGGUGAAGUAGAGGCGGACCAAAACGCAGGGUGGUGAUGAUUCAUGUUUGUUUAAUAAAGGAAAACUAUACAUGAAUAAACUACAAAACAAUGAAAUGUGAAAACCCAAAACAGCCCUAUCUGGUGCAAAACCCAGAGACAGGAACAAUCACCCACAAACACACAGUGAAACCCAGGCUAUCUAAAUAUGGUUCCCAAUCAGAGACAAUGACUAACACCUGCCUCUGAUUGAGAACCAUAUCAGGCCAAACAUAGAAAUAGACAAACUAGACAUCCAACAUAGAAUGCCCACUCAGAUCACACCCUGACCAACCAAAACAUAGAAACAUACAAAGCAAACUAUGGUCAGGGUGUGACACAUUGUAAAUACAACCCAUAUUUAUGUUUAUUUAUUGUCCCUCGUGUACCCUUAACCAUUUGUACAUUGUUACAACACUGUAUAUAUAUAUAUAUAUA
ensembl:lncRNA